rnacentral:misc_RNA from 1 species
UCUCCGUAGGUGAACCUGCGGAGGGAUCAUUACUGAGUGAGGGCUCACGCCCGACCUCCAACCCUUUGUGAACACAUCUUGUUGCUUCGGGGGCGACCCUGCCGCUUCGGUGGUGCGGCGCCCCCGGGGUCAAUCAAACACUGCAUUCUCUGCGUCGGAGUAUUAGUAAAUCUAAUCAAAACUUUCAACAACGGAUCUCUUGGUUCUGGCAUCGAUGAAGAACGCAGC